GAAGUCGAGCGUAAAAUCGCGGUCCGGUUGGUAGCCCGGAUGCACGGGAUCUCCCGCUUUUCGGAGAUGCAAGCCCGUGUCAUAUCCUUCCCCCCUCGGGAUGUCCAUCGCUCGCAAGAUGUAA
rnacentral:ncRNA from 1 species